GACGAACGCUGGCGGCGUGCUUAACACAUGCAAGUCGAACGGAAAGGCCCUGCUUGCAGGGUACUCGAGUGGCGAACGGGUGAGUAACACGUGGGUGAUCUGCCCUGCACUUCGGGAUAAGCCUGGGAAACUGGGUCUAAUACCGGAUAGGAGCCAUUUUUAGUGUGAUGGUUGGAAAGUUUUUUCGGUGUAGGAUGAGCUCGCGGCCUAUCAGCUUGUUGGUGGGGUAAUGGCCUACCAAGGCGGCGACGGGUAGCCGGCCUGAGAGGGUGGACGGCCACAGUGGGACUGAGAUACGGCCCAGACUCCGACGGGAGGCAGCAGUGGGGAAUAUUGCACAAGGGGCGCAAGCCGGAUGCAGCGACGCCGCGUGGGGGAUGACGGCCUUCGGGUUGUAAACUCCUUUCGCUAGGGACGAAGCUUUUUGUGACGGUACCUAGAUAAGAAGCACCGGCUAACUACGUG
rnacentral:rRNA from 1 species